rnacentral:rRNA from 1 species
AUCGUGCGCAUAGCUUAGAGAUAAGUGAAGUCCUUCGGGACGCACAGACAGGUGGUGCAUGGUUGUCGUCAGCUCGUGUCGUGAGAUGUUGGGUUAAGUCCCGCAACGAGCGCAACCCUUGUAUUCAGUUGCUACGCAAGAGCACUCUGGAUAGACUGCCGUUGAUAAAACGGAGGAAGGUGGGGAUGACGUCAAAUCAUCAUGCCCCUUAUGACCUGGGCAACACACGUACUACAAUGGCGUAUAACAGAGGGAAGCAAGACAGCGAUGUGGAGCAAACCCCUAAAAUGCGUCUCAGUUCAGAUUGCAGGCUGCAACUCGCCUGCAUGAAGUCGGAAUUGCUAGUAAUCGCGGAUCAGCAUGCCGCGGUGAAUACGUUCCCGGGCCUUGUACACACCGCCCGUCACACCAUGGGAGCCGGUAACACCCGAAGUCAGUAGCCUGACCGCAAGGAGGGCGCUGCCGAAGGUGGGAUUGGUGACUGGGGUGAAGUCGUAACAAGGUAGCCGUAUCGGAAGGUGCGGUUGGAUCACCUC